UAUGCAUAUUUCUUUUGUGGAUAGAUGCAUUUAUUACAAUUGAAUUUUGUUUUGAACAAGUCUUAAUAGUUUGUUGACUCCUUUCAAACUAAUGGGAAAAGAUUAAACAGUUCUAAACAUAUGUGUUAACGGCGGAUCUCUUUUCUUUGGCGAUAGAAGAAUGAAUGUCCAUUGUUUCCGGUGAAAACAGCUGAUAGAAGGGGGAGUCAAAGCCAAGAAUAAGCAAACUCAAAGAUUCAUGUGGAUAUAAGUUACAGGUGCAAAUGGACUGCAAAUAUGAACACGAGUCUUCCCAUUAUUACAAAAGAAAAGCAAGAGAGAAGUCUUUGAGGAAUAUCUUGUGAAAAUUGCAUUGAAAUUCUAAACUAAAAAGAAAUCCGUGGUAAACCCAGACUCUUGCCAGUGAGGAUACAUUGUAAGUCAGAGCCCAAUAGUGCCAUCUUUGGAACAUCAAUUCUGUUCGUUAUACUGUGCUGUUCCCUGUGAUGUUUUACAUAUAGGAUUUGGAGAUAAUGUUGGUAACAGAAUAUCAAUCAUAUGAUAUAAAAUAAGAGAACUCCAUUCAGUGUUUUACUUUGAAAUAUAUUAAUCUGUAAAAGAUUUCUAAAUCAGAAAGAAUUCAUUCCUUUUAUCUGUCUGCUGCAAGGGCUGUGUAUUCAAAUUAAAUUCACACAUUAUGAUACAAUGUCUUUAAGCAGUGUGCAAUGUAUGUGUGUAAUGUGUAUAGGGAUUAAUCUUGUGAAUCUUUUAUAUAAGUUUUCAAGGACUGAUUAUUUUAAAAUUUAUCAUGUAGUUCUUAUCUCACUGUCAUUAAAAAAAAGACUUCAGACUUUAAAAAUACAUGUGUGUAAAACCAAUGUCUAAAGUCACAGCUCUCUGUGAGUAACACACUAUUUUUUUUCAAAUGAGCAUCUGUCAAUUUGAUGAAUGUUUUUUUUUUAAUCAUAAUAGGUCAUAGGUGUAUUUCAGAACAGUCAAAAAUGUUUUUUUUUUCUCAAAUUUCUCUUGACCAAUAUAUUGAGAUUUUAUUUGUAAGAAUUAAGUAAAAAAUAAUUACCAGAUCAGCAUUGGGAAGAUGUCCACAUUUAUAUGCAUUUAGUUUUAUAGAGGGUAUCCUCAUGUGUAUUGAACAAUGUAGGUUCAAUUGUUUGAUUUUUUUUUUUGGGGGGGGGGGGUCCAUGGUUAGAGCAUAACAAGGGAACUACAUUGAAAAGGGAAUACUAAUCUGACAAAUUUAUGUUUAGUAAAUGCAGUUGUCAAUACAUAUAUAAUGUAACACUCAAAACCUGGUUUAGGGCCACAAAGAGGGUUUUUUAUAUUUACUUGAUGUGAGAGACAGGGGGCUGAGAGACUCAGAGAAAGCAAUUUGACUAAGGUGAGCAUUGUGAACAUUAGGUAUUCAUCAAUAUCAUAAAAAAAAUUAUGCUAGUAUCAACUUUAAAAAAUAAAUAUUGAAAUUUAGAGUUCAUCACUGGAGAGUAGAUUGCAUAUUUGUCUUAAUUUUAUUAGCAAAAUGUUUCAUUAGCACUUUGUUUUGCAAUAUUGUAUAUGACAAUGUUGAGUUUGUUUUUGAA